CCUACGCGCGGCAGCAGUGGGGAAUAUUGGACAAUGGGGGGAACCCUGAUCCAGCGACGCCGCGUGAGUGAAGAAGUAUUUCGGUAUGUAAAGCUCUAUCAGCAGGGAAGAAAAUGACGGUACCUGACUAAGAAGCCCCGGCUAACUACGUGCCAGCAGCCGCGGUAAUACGUAGGGGGCAAGCGUUAUCCGGAUUUACUGGGUGUAAAGGGAGCGUAGACGGUGCAGCAAGUCUGAUGUGAAAGGUCGGGGCCCAACCCCGGGACUGCAUUGGAAACUGUUGAACUGGAGUGCAGGAGAGGUAAGGGGGAUUCCUAGUGUAGCGGUGAAAGGCGUAGAUAUUAGGAGGAACACCAGUGGCGAGGGCGGCUUAAUGGACUGUAACUGACGUUGCGGCUCGAAAGCGUGGGGAGCAAACAGGAUUAGAUACCCUUGUAGUC
rnacentral:rRNA from 1 species